rnacentral:rRNA from 1 species
CCCUUAGAUGUCCUGGGCCGCACGCGCGCUACAAUGACACGUUCGACAAGUUCUAUCCUGGCCUGGAAAGGUGCGGGUAAUCUUUUUAGUACGUGUCGUGUUAGGGAUCGAUCUUUGGAAUUAUAGAUCUUGAACGAGGAAUUCCCAGUAAGUGCGGGUCAUCAGCUCGCGUUGAUUACGUCCCUGCCCUUUGUACACACCGCCCGUCGCUGCCCGGAACUGAGCCGUUUCGAGAAGACUGAGGAUUGCUGACUUGAGGCCUUCACGGGCUUCUAGUCGGUGAAAAUCAAUUUAAUCGCAGCGGCUUGAACCGGGCAAAAGUCGUAACA